GUGAAUAUAGUUUAACCAAAAUUUUAGGUUGUGGUCCUAAAGAUGAAGGCUAAUAUCCUUCUAUUCACC
rnacentral:tRNA from 2 species